UACGGAGGAUUCGAGCGUUAUCCGGAUUUAUUGGGUUUAAAGGGUGCGUAGGCGGUUAGGUAAGUUAGAGGUGAAAGGUCAGGGCUUAACCCUGGGACUGCCUCUGAUACUGUCUGACUGGAGAAUAGAUGCAGCAGGCGGAAUGAGUAGUGUAGCGGUGAAAUGCUUAGAUAUUACUCAGAACACCGAUUGCGAAGGCAGCUUGCUAAUCUAUGUCUGACGCUGAUGCACGAAAGCGUGGGUAGCGAACA
rnacentral:rRNA from 1 species